UUAUACAUGAAACGUGUAUACAAAUGGAAGGGACAUGAAGAAGAAGGAUGGGACAAGAUGUUCAAACUUUAUACUAAGAAUGGGUAACAUUUUAACAUGGCUUACUCGUCAGCUCUCUCUUCUUCUUUUUUUUUUUUUUUUCUCCACUAUUUUUGGCUUUACUGUUGUUUUUUUCCCUUACCCAAUUUUCAUGUGAUUCCCA
rnacentral:lncRNA from 1 species